rnacentral:rRNA from 1 species
UCCGUGCCAGCAGCCGCGGUAAUACGGAGGGUGCAAGCGUUGUCCGGAUUUAUUGGGUUUAAAGGGUGCGUAGGCGGGUCUUUAAGUCCGUGGUGAAAGCCCAUCGCUCAACGAUGGAACUGCCAUGGAUACUGGAGGCCUUGAAUUCAGUUGAGGUAGGCGGAAUUGAUGGUGUAGCGGUGAAAUGCAUAGAUACCAUCAGGAACACCGAUUGCGAAGGCAGCUUACUGGGCUUGAAUUGACGCUGAGGCACGAAAGCGUGGGGAGCGAACAGGAUUAGAUACCCUGGUAGUCCACACCGUAAACGCUGUCUACUAGCUGUGUGUGCCUUUAAGGCGUGCGUAGCGAAGCUAACGCGCUAAGUAGACCGCCUGGGGAGUACGGCCGCAAGGUUAAAACUCAAAGAAAUUGACGGGGGCCCGCACAAGCGGUGGAGCAUGUG